GGUUGAUCCUGCCAGUAGUCAUAUGCUUGUCUCAAAGAUUAAGCCAUGCAUGUCUAAGUAUAAACAAAUUUGUACUGUGAAACUGCGAAUGGCUCAUUAAAUCAGUUAUAGUUUAUUUGAUAAUACCUUACUACUCGGAUAACCGUGGUAAUUCUAGAGCUAAUACGUGCUAAAAAUCCCAACUUCUGGAAGGGAUGUGCUUAUUAGAUAAAAAACCAACCUGGGCAACCGGUUUUUUGGUGAAUCAUAAUAAUCUUUCGAAUCGUAUGGCCUUGUGUCGACGAUGGUUCAUU
rnacentral:rRNA from 1 species